GUGCUCGCUUCGGCAGCACAUAUACUAAAAUUGGAACAAUACAGAGAAGAUUAACAUGGCCCUUGCGCAAGGAUGACAUGCAAAUCAUGAAGCGUUUCAUAUUUUU
rnacentral:snRNA from 1 species